rnacentral:pre_miRNA from 14 species
CUCUGUGUGAGGGUGUGUUGAAAGAUCCCCGAAGGGAGACCCUUACUCAAGUCUCGGGAAAUCACGGACCCCAGACACAGAGAGACCA